GAAGAUGGGGUGCGGCGAAAUUGGAGGGGUUAACCCGCCCACAAUGGGAAUGGAACACAGGCCCAAAUUCCUAACGGAGAACAGCCAGUUAGAUAUAUCGUCCAUGUGGGAACCCUGAACCGGCAAUGCGGCGGGAGGAUGAGGUUCUCUUGGAUUUUAAACCUCUGUUUAUUGGGAGUAUUGUCAGACUAGAAAAUGGGUCUGAUGUGACUGUACCAUACAGAAGGCUCGGGCUACUACGUGCCAGCAGCGCGGUAAUACGUAGGGAGCGAGCGUAAUCCGGAUUUAUUGGGCGUAAAGGGUGCGUAGGCGGCUUGUUAAGUAUGAAAUCAAAUCCCGGGGCUUAACUUCGGUUCGUUUCAUAAACUGGCUUGCUUGAGUAUGGAAGAGGUAAACGGAAUUUCUAGUGUAGCGGUGGAAUGCGUAGAUAUUAGAAGGAACACCAGUGGCGAAGGCGGUUUACUGGGCCAUUACUGACGCUGAGGCACGAAAGCGUGGGGAGCAAAUAGGAUUAGAUACCCUAGUAGUCCACGCUGUAAACGAUGAGUACUAAGUGUCGGGAUUUCUCGGUGCUGAAGUUAACAUAUUAAGUACUCCGCCUGAGUAGUACGGUCGCAAGGCUGAAACUCAAAGGAAUUGACGGGCACCCGCACAAGCGGUGGAGCAUGCUGUUUAAUUCGAUGCAACGCGAAGAACCUUACCAGGGCUUGACAUAUACAUGACGUACUAAGAGAUUAGUAUUCCCUUCGGGGCAUGUAAACAGGUGGUGCAUGGUUGUCGUCAGCUCGGUGUCGUGAGAUGUUGGGUUAAGUCCCGCAACGAGCGCAACCCUUAUUCGUAGUAGCCAGCGGAUAAAGCCGGGCACUCUAGGGAGACUGCCGGGGAUAACCCGGAGGAAGGUGGGGAUGACGUCAAAUCAUCAUGCCCCUUAUGAUUUGGGAUACACACGUGCUACAAUGGCGUAAACAAAGGGAAGCGAACCUGCGAGGGGGAGCGAAACCCAAAAAUAACGUCCCAGUUCGGACUGCAGUCUGCAACCCGACUGCACGAAGCUGGAAUCGUCUAGUAAUCGCGGAUCAGAAUGCCGCGGUGAAUACGUUCCCGGGUCUUGUACACACCGCCCGUCACACCAUGGGAGUCGGAAAUGCCCGAAGUCUGUGACCUAACCGAAAGGGGGGAGCAGCCGAAGGCAGGUCGGAUGACUGGGGUGAAGUCGUAACAAGGUAG
rnacentral:rRNA from 1 species